rnacentral:rRNA from 1 species
CCUGUUUAACAAAAACAUGUCUUUUUGAGUUAUUUUUAAAGUCUGACCUGCCCACUGAAAUUAUUUAAAUGGCCGCAGUAUUCUAACUGUGCAAAGGUAGCAUAAUCAUUAGUCUUUUAAUUGAAGGCUGGUAUGAACGGUUGGACGAGGUAUAAGCUGUUUCAUAUAAAUUUAUAAUAGAAUUUUAUAUUUUAGUCAAAAAGCUAAAAUUUUAUUAAAAGACGAGAAGACCCUAUAAAUCUUUAUAUUUUGUGUUGUUUAAAUUUUUUAGAUUUAUUUUAUUUUUAUAAUUUAAAGUAUUUUGUUGGGGUGAUAUUAAAAUUUGAUGAACUUUUAAUUAUUUAAGAUCAUUAAUUUAUGAUUUAUUGAUCCAUUAGUAGUGAUUAUAAGAUUAAGUUACUUUAGGGAUAACAGCGUAAUUUUUUUGGAGAGUUCUUAUCGAUAAAAAAGUUUGCGACCUCGAUGUUGGAUUAAGAUAUAUUUUUAGGUGUAGCCGCUUAAAU